UACAGAGGGGGCAAGCGUUAUUCGGAAUUAUUGGGCGUAAAGGGCGCGUAGGCGGCCUGGCAAGUGGAAGGUGAAAUCCCUCGGCUUAACCGAGGAACUGCCCUCCAAACUGCUUGGCUUGAGUCCGGGAGAGGUGAGUGGAAUUCCCAGUGUAGAGGUGAAAUUCGUAGAUAUUGGGAAGAACACCGGUGGCGAAGGCGGCUCACUGGCUCGUAACUGACGCUGAGGCACGAAAGCGUGGGGAGCAAACAGG
rnacentral:rRNA from 1 species